AUUGAACGCUGGCGGCAGGCCUAACACAUGCAAGUCGAACGAGUGGCGGACGGGUGAGUAAUGUCUGGGAAACUGCCUGAGGGAGGGGGAUAACUACUGGAAACGGUAGCUAAUACCGCAUACAAUAGGAUCUGCCCAGAUGGGAUUAGCUAGUAGGUGGGGUAAAGGCUCACCUAGGCGACGAUCCCAAGCUGGGCUGAGAGGAGGACCAGCCACACUGGAACUGAUACACGGGCCAGACUACUACGGGAGGCAGCAGUGGGGAAUAUUGCACAAUGGGCGCAAGCCUGAUGCAGCCAUGCCGGGUGUAUGAAGAAGGCCUUAGGGUUGUAAAGUACUUUAAGCGGGGAGGCGUUACCCGCAGAAGAAGCACCGGCUAACUCCGUGCCAGCAGCCGCGGUAAUUC
rnacentral:rRNA from 1 species